rnacentral:lncRNA from 1 species
GUGAAAGGAGGCCAAGGACCACCUUUGCCUGUAUGGUGGGCUGAACUGUGUCCCCACAAAAGAUAGGGCGUCCUAACCCCAGAUACCUGUGAAUGUGACCUUAUUUGGGAAUAGAGUUUUUGCAAAUGGAAUCAAGUCAUGAUGACGUCAUUAGCAUGAGCCUUAAUUUAAUAGGAUUGAUGUCCUUCUAAGAAGAGAAGACGGGGACACACAGGAGAAAGCCAUGUGAUGAAGCAGGCAGGAGCUGGAGCGACACUACCACAGGCUAAGGAACAUCGGGACCAGAAGAGGCGAGGAGGGGCCGUUCCCUAGAGGCUUUGGAGAGAGCAUGGCUCAUCAACACCUUCACUUCAGACUGGUAGCCCCCAAACGCUUCAAAAGUCACUGGAUUUUUCAAUGAGAAGGAGAAGUUAGGCAGCUACCAAAUAGCUGAAAGAAUAUUAAAUCUGAUGGAUCCAGCCAAAUAAAAAUGUUCAUUCAUAGGAUCUGUGGUUGUUGAGGAAUCUUCUAAGUUUCAUAAAUGGCAAAAACUCUUUCUCAGACUUACAGAUCAGACCUCACAUAUGCAUGAGAAGAGAAGCUAUUUUUGUCUCUGGGUUCCAGUUACACAGCCACAGCCUGGAAGCUUUGUUCUCAGAAUUCAUGCUGUCAUCAAAAGGACUCAAUACAAACACUGCAGCCAGCCUGCCAUGGCUUAGCUGUGACCGCAGCUGCAAACUCUUCUGUCAUGUGAAAACUUUUGGCUUUUUCCGGGUGUGGAAUGCCUGUUGGUCCCAGCUCCGCCUGCCUUUCCUCCUUCUGGAAUCGUGUCCAUCCUUUCAGUCAACUCAGUUUGUCCGCAUCUUCCAGGCCUCAUACCUCCGCCUGAUCUGCAUGGCAGUGGUGGGCUUGCUCUUUGUGCUAUUACACUGACUGUGAUCGUGUUUAGCGAGUCAGCUUCUACAAAGUCGACCUGCACCUGUGUGAUGUCUCUCCCUAGCUGGAUGCAGCUUCUCCAUGGGCUAAGUUCAUCAUGUUAACAGUGCCUGCCCCACAGGCCCUCAGGGGAUCUUAGUGGGUGGUCUAUGGAGAGACUUUGGCGGGUAUAUGAAUCCCCAAAAUUGUAGGCAAAGUUUGUGUAUGCUGUGGCCUAUUGACAGCGGGGACUCUGCCGCUGCUUUCUCCUAAGAAGCCUCCUGGGGAUUUGAGCGAAUUAUGGUGGUCUCCUUCCCUCUGAAGUGAUUAGUUUUGGCUUUGGCUCAACAUGGUGCAGACCCAUGGGAUCCAAAGGGAAGUUGGCCGGGCAUUUCUGGGAAGGAUGUCUCUUCUUCUGAUUUCUGAAUGAGGGUAGGAAGCCCUCUUCUUCAUCAGACGCCAUGGCUCUUACACGAAUGAUGCCUAGAGCAGACACAGCCCUUCCAGGACCAGAGGCCGAGGCUGACAAUGGGACAAGAGGGCAGAGGAAGAAGUGGGGAGCACCUAAGCCUUCCUCUGACCAAGCACUGUCCUAACCAAUUCUGAUUGGUUCACUUCUAGUUACAUGAUAUAAUAAACGUCC